AGCAUCUAAGUGUGAAACUCCCCCUAAGAUAAGAUCUCCCAUCCAUUAGGAGUAAGGGACGACAAAGACUAUGUCGUUGAUAGGUCGGAAGUGUAAGUGCAGUAAUGCAUUGAGCUGACCGAUACUAAUAACCCGAGGGCUUGACCUA
rnacentral:rRNA from 1 species